CAGUCGCCGCGGUAAUACGUAGGUGGCAAGCGUUGUCCGGAAUUAUUGGGCGUAAAGGGCUCGCAGGCGGUUUCUUAAGUCUGAUGUGAAAGCCCCCGGCUCAACCGGGGAGGGUCAUUGGAAACUGGGAAACCUGAGUGCAGAAGAGGAGAGUGGAAUUCCACGUGUAGCGGUGAAAUGCGUAGAGAUGUGGAGGAACACCAGUGGCGAAGGCGACUCUCUGGUCUGUAACUGACGCUGAGGAGCGAAAGCGUGGGGAGCGAACAGGAUUAGAUACCCCCGUAGUCCCUGUCUCUUAUAC
rnacentral:rRNA from 1 species